UAAUUUAAACUAAUUUACAGCUAUACUAAAAUUAAUAACUAAGGUAAAAACUGAACGAGAUAAAAGACUGUGAUACAAAGGUUUUUGGUGAAAAGGCAGAUUGGCUUCCACGUGCAAUUCGAGAGUGUGAAAAGGCAGUAUUUCCUACAGAGAAUUUACACGAGUUCUUGAAUGAAAUGUGCAAAGAAGAAAGAGAAGCGGAUGCACAGCAAGUGAAAAAAUGCGUCAAUGAGAAAUUUUCAGAACUUCACGAGGAUCCAGAAUAUACACUCAGUGAAUUGAUUAACAAAUGUUUGUGAAUAUCUUCAACGGAUCACUUAACAGCUGAUGAGGACCGGCAUCUACAUAUUACCUAUAAUAUAAUAAUCUGAAUCUGUCGUGUUUACCUUCUUUUUGGGAUAUGUUUAACUCUCAAAUAUCUUUAUCUGGAAAAUAAAAUUUUCAUA